rnacentral:lncRNA from 1 species
UGCAAUUAGAAAAUCACACACACGCAUACACUCGUGCCUGCAUAUGUUUCCUGUGCCUUCGAAAGAUAUUUUUCUCUACUUUUACUAGACUUUGAAUCCAGCAUGGUAACAUUGAAAGGCUGACGAUGUUUUGACCGGCUUCGUGUUGGAGCUGGCUCCAGGCAACGUCUCUUUCUCUUCUGCCCUCCCCCAGCCCACCGCCCACCCCUUGGCCACCACAGAAAGACAAUGUGAGGACACAGCUAUAAGGCAGCCAUCUACAAACCAAGAAGAAAAUCCUCACCAGAACCCGGAUCUGACAGCAUCUUGAUCUUGGACUUCCAGCCUCCAAAACCA